rnacentral:rRNA from 1 species
UACGUAGGUGGCAAGCGUUGUCCGGAUUUACUGGGCGUAAAGCGUGCGCAGGCGGUGAUGUAAGACGGAUGUGAAAUCCCCGGGCUCAACCUGGGAAUGGCGAUGAAGACUGCAAGGCUAGAAUCUGGCAGAGGGGGGGUAGAAUUCCACGUGUAGCAGUGAAAUGCGUAGAGAUGUGGAGGAACACCGAUGGCGAAGGCAGCCCCCUGGGUCAAGAUUCGACGCUCAUGCACGAAAGGCGUGGG